rnacentral:tRNA from 1 species
GGAAGGUCGUCGUCUCCGGUGAGGCGGCUGGAUUUCAAAUCCAGGUGGUGCCGCCAGCGGCGCCGGGCAGGUUCGACUCCUGUGACUUUCC